ACGGGGGGUGCGAGCGUUGUCCGGAAUCACUGGGCGUAAAGGGCGCGUAGGUGGUUUGAUAAGGGUGUGGUGAAAGCCCGGGGCUCAACCCCGGGUCUGCCGUGCCGACUGUUAAACUCGAGGGCUGUAGAGGCAGACGGAAUUCCGGGUGUAGCGGUGGAAUGCGUAGAGAUCCGGAGGAAGACCGGUGGCGAAGGCGGUCUGCUGGGCAGUUUCUGACACUGAGGCACGAAGGCCAGGGGAGCAAACGGGA
rnacentral:rRNA from 1 species